CUGCGCUCCCACUAAACUAAAAUAUUAAGUAGAUUUAACGUUGAUUUUUAUUUGGCAUCAGCUUUUAUAGUACGGUGACAAAUAAGGUAAAUUUGAAAAUUUAAUGGACCGAAAUACCUCACGGCUAAUUUUGGUUUUAUUUUGUAGAUAAAUAUAAUAUCCUUUGAUUAAGGCAUGUUCAAAAGUGGUGCAGAUUUGUGAAAACUGCGGUCAAAGGUCAAAAGGGGGGGAUUUUAAAAAGGUCAAAGGAGAAGGUCCGGUAAGGACUCAUUUUGGCCUCAAAUUUCAGUUUCAUCUGACGAAAGAUUUUGACCACUUUUUAAACACUUAAGUGUCUAUUUUACUUGAUUCAAUUAGUUUAUGUGAAAGAUUUUAACUGAUUUAGUCAUUAAAAACGAUCCGAUUCCAGCUCAAAUAUGAAAAAUCUACCAAAUAUGCUGAAAAAUGUCACUUUACAGAUGGUUUUUGUCAAAAAUGAAAGUGGCUGCAUCCGUGUUCAUCCACAACCUUUGUAUAUGUUAUGUAUUAUCAUAAAAUACAACUUACAUUUCAAUAUUAAGGAUGAACACGAAUGCGGCCACUUUCGUUUUACACGGAAACCGU
rnacentral:lncRNA from 1 species